UUGGAGGGCAAGUCUGGUGCCAGCAGCCGCGGUAAUUCCAGCUCCAAUAGCGUAUAUUAAGGUUGUUGCCGUUAAAAAGCUCGUAGUUGGAUUUCGGGAUCAAUAUGCUGGUCGUGCCUUUGGUACGUACUGGUAUUAUUGGUUUCUCCUUUCUGAUGAAUCACGAUGUCAUUAAUUUGGUGUCAUGGGGAAUCAGGACUGUUACUUUGAAAAAAUUAGAGUGUUUAAGGCAGGCUUACGCUUGAAUACAUUAGCAUGGAAUAAUGAAAUAGGACGUUUAAUUCUAUUUUGUUGGUUUCUAGGAUUGACGUAAUGAUUAAUAGGGAUAGUUGGGGGCAUUAGUAUUCAAUUGUCAGAGGUGAAAUUCUUGGAUUUAUUGAAGACUAACUACUGCGAAAGCAUUUGCCAAGGAUGUUUUCAUUAAUCAAGAACGAAAGUUAGGGGAUCGAAGACGAUCAGAUACCGUCGUGGUCUUAACCAUAAACUAUGCCGACUAGGGAUCGGAUGAUGUUAAUUUAUGACUCAUUCGGCGCC
rnacentral:rRNA from 1 species